ACUAAUUUGGCAGAGAAGUGCAAUGAAUUUAAGAUUCAUCAAUAAAGUAUAAACUUUUUUUAGUA
rnacentral:tRNA from 1 species